CUCUGUAUGUCUGUCUCUGUCACUAUAUGUCAUUCUCUGUAUGUCUGUCUCUGUCAAAAACUGAAAUUGAAUGUAUUGUAAUAUCACAAUAUUUGAAAUUCCUAACCAGAGGGGAUAGAGAGAUGGGAGUCUUGGAUUAUAGGAAUGUUUUACGGAGAUAAAAGCUAAAUUAUUCUGUUGUGUAUGGUUCUGUUCUCUCAGGGUGGGUAAGUCUCCAGGACAAGCCAGGAAAGUACAGAAGAAGCCAAAGAGCCCUCCCACUAACAGGAUCCUGAAGCCAAGUCAGGGUCAGAAUGCCUCUGUCCCAGGUCAGCUCAACCGACAGGGUCUGUGUGUCAGGAGCUGGUACAGAAAUACUCCGGAGGACAGAGUGAGGCGCUCAGACAGCCUGAAGAAUCAUAACUCCCUGAGCUAACUGGUUAUUCCCUCAGUCCCUCUAUGACCCCUCACUCCCUGACCUUUGAUCCUUGACCUCUGGGCCUUCUAUCAGCCCCAUGUUGUACUAUGGUUCGACUACCACCACUGCUACUAGUCCCUCUAACCUCCCUCUAACCUCCCUCUGACCUCCCUCUAACCUCCCUCUAACUUCCCUCUAACCUCCCUCUG